rnacentral:tRNA from 1 species
GGCGAGAUGGCAGAGCGGUCGAUUGCGUCGGUUUUGAAAACCGAUGAAUCUUUACAGAUUCCGUGGGUUCGAAUCCCACUCUCGCCU